UACGUAGGUGGCAAGCGUUGUCCGGAAUUACUGGGUGUAAAGGGCGUGUAGGCGGGAAGACAAGUCAGAUGUGAAAGCCCAUGGCUUAACUGUGGAACUGCAUCUGAAACUGUUUUUCUUGAGUACUGGAGAGGAAAGUGGAAUUCCAAGUGUAGCGGUGAAAUGCGUAGAGAUUUGGAGGAACACCAGUGGCGAAGGCGGCUUUCUGGACAGUAACUGACGCUGAGGCGCGAAAGCGUGGGGAGCAAACAGGAUUAGAUACCCUGGUAGUCCACGCCGUAAACGAUGGAUACUAGGUGUAGGAGGUAUCGACCCCUUCUGUGCCGCAGUUAACACAAUAAGUAUCCCACCUGGGGAGUACGGCCGCAAGGUUGAA
rnacentral:rRNA from 1 species